rnacentral:lncRNA from 1 species
AACCCGACCUUUCUCUCUGGCUGCCCUUGACAUUAUUUCGUUUAUUUCAACUUUGGUGAAUCUGACGAUUAUGUGUCUUGGGGUUGCUCUUCUUGAGGAUUAUCUUUGUGGUGUUCUCUGUACUUCCUGAAUUUGAAUCUUGGCCUGUCUUGCUAGGUUGGGGAAAUUCUCCUGGAUAAUAUCCUGAAGAGUGUUUUCCAACUUGGUUCCAUUCUCCCCAUCACUUUCAGGCACACCAAUCAAACGCAGGUUUGGUUUUUUCCACAUAGUCCCAUGUUUCUUGGAGGUUUUGUUCAUUCCUUUUCAUUCUUUUUUCUCUAAUCUUGUCUUAACACUUUAUUCCAUUAAGUUGAUCUUCAAUCUCUGAUAUCCUUUCUUCUGCUUGAUCAAUUCAGCUAUUGAUACUUGUGUAUGCUUCAAGAAGUUCUUGUGCUAUGUUUUUCAGCUCCAUUAGGUCAUUUGUGUUCUUCUCCAAACUGAUUAUUCUAGUUAGCAAUUCCUCUAGCCUUUUUUCAAGGUUCUUAGCUCCCUUGCAUUGGGUUAUAACAUGCUCCUUUAACUCGGAGGAGUUUGUUAUUACCCACCUUCUGAAGCCUACUUCUGUCAAUUUGGCAAACUCUUUCUCUGUCCAGUUUUGUUCCCUUGCUGGUGAGGAGUUGUGAUCCUUUGGAGGAGAAGAGGCAUUCUGGUUUUUGGAAUUUUCACUUGUGCUUCCUGGGUGAGGCGACACCCCAGCCUGCUUGGGCUCACUCCCCGUGGGCUGCACCCAUUGUCUAACCAGUCCCAGUGAGAUGAGCCAGGUACCUCAGUUGGAAAUGGAGAAAUCACCCACCUGCGUUGAUCUCACUGGGAGCUGCAGACCGGAGCUGUUCCUUUUCGGCCAUCUUGCCCAUGACCCCAGAAACAUUUUAAUCAUAACUAUAUUUCUAUUCCAGAACCCAGCAUGUAACUCUUGUUAGCCCUGUGAGGACAGUUUCAGGCUGAGAGCCCAAUCCCAUAGGACUGCCCCCUGCAUUUCACAUGCCAGUCACAAGUAUUAAUAGUAUGUUGUCACUUAUACUUCUGACCAACUGGCUCUUAGUCACGGAUUCCCAUGAUCUCCGUCUGGAGUUUGAUUAAUUUGCUAGGGUGGCUCACAGAACUCAGGUAAACACUUUACUUAUAGUUCCCCAUUUAUUAUAAAGGAUUUUACAAAGGAUCCAGAUGGACAGCCAGGUGGAAGGGGCAUAUAGCUUCCACAUCCUUUCCUGGCGUGCCACUCACCAGGAACCUCCACGUGUUCAGCUUCUGUAAGCUCUCCAAACCCUGUCCUUUUGAGUUUUUACAGAGGUUUCAUAAUGUAGCCAUAAUUAAAUCAUUGGCCACUGGUGAUCAACUCAAACUUCAGGCCCUCUCCUGUCCCCCGAAGUGGAGGAUGGGGCUGUGAGUGCCAACCCAUUAAUCACAUGGUUGGGUCCCCUGGCAACCAGUCACCCAUCCAGUGGUUAUCUAGGGACUCUCCAAAAACCACCUCAUUAACAAACUCAAGUGUGGUCAAAAGGGGAUUGUUAUAAAUAACCAAAGACAUGUUCACCUUACAACUCUGGAGCUAUUCUAAAACUAU